UACGGAGGGUGCAAGCGUUGUUCGGAAUUAUUGGGCGUAAAGGGCAGGUAGGUGGUCUUAAAAGUCUACUGUGAAAUCCCCGAGCUUAACUUGGGAAGUGCGGUAGAUACUCUAAGACUAGAGUGCUGGAGGGGUUCGUGGAAUUCCCGGUGUAGCGGUGAAAUGCGCAGAUAUCGGGAGGAACACCAAUGGCGAAGGCAGCUCGCUGGGACGUGACUGACGCUGAGACGCGAAAGCGUGGGGAGCAAACAGG
rnacentral:rRNA from 1 species